ensembl:rRNA 5S_rRNA 5S ribosomal RNA
GCCUACAACCAUACCACCCUGAACGUGCCCGAUCUCAUCUAAUCUUGGCAGCUAAGCAGGAUUGGGCCUGGUUAAUACUUGGAUGGGAGAAAUCAGAGUCUGCGUAAAAAGGUCGAUUGUAUUCA